rnacentral:rRNA from 1 species
GAUGAACGCUAGCUACAGGCUUAACACAUGCAAGUCGAGGGGAAACGAUAUUGGAAGCUUGCUUCUGAUAGGCGUCGACCGGCGCACGGGUGAGUAACACGUAUCCAACCUGCCGUCUACUCUUGGACAGCCUUCUGAAAGGAAGAUUAAUACAAGAUGGCAUCAUGAGUUCACAUGUUCACAUGAUUAAAGGUAUUCCGGUAGACGAUGGGGAUGCGUUCCAUUAGAUAGUAGGCGGGGUAACGGCCCACCAAACCGACGAUGGAUAGGGGUUCUGAGAGGAAGGCCCCCCACACUGGGACUGAGACACGGCCCAGACUCCUACGGGAGGCAGCAGUGAGGAAUAUUGGUCAAUGGGCGGAAGCCUGAACCAGCCAUGCCGCGUGAAGGACUAAGGCCCUACGGGUCGUAAACUUCUUUAGACGCAGAGCAAUAAGGUCCACGCGUGGACCGAUGAGAGUAUGCGUAGAAUAAGCAUCGGCUAACUCCGUG